rnacentral:misc_RNA from 1 species
AAGACUAUAGACCUGCGGAGUACCUGCGGAAGGAUCAUUACAGAGAACCUGCCCUUAGGGUAGAUCUCCCCACCCUUUGUUUACUUUACCUUUGUUGCUUUGGCAGGUCCGUCGUUGACCACCGGCGUUAGCUGGUCAGUGCCUGCCAGAGGACAGCCAACUCUUGAUUUUAUGUCGUCUGAGUUUACAAAUAGUCGUCAAAACUUUUAGCAACGGAUCUCUAGAUCGGAAGAGCACACG